rnacentral:rRNA from 1 species
CGUAGGUGGCAAGCGUUGUCCGGAUUUAUUGGGUUUAAAGGGUGCGUAGGCGGUCUUGUAGGUCAGUGGUGAAAUACGGCAGCUUAACUGUCGAGGUGCCAUUGAUACUGCAGGACUUGAGUACAGACGAGGUAGGCGGAAUUGACGGUGUAGCGGUGAAAUGCUUAGAUAUCGUCAAGAACACCGAUAGCGAAGGCAGCUUACUAGACUGUAACUGACGCUGAUGCACGAAAGUGUGGGGAUCAAACAGGAUUAGAUACCCUGGUAGUCCACACUGUAAACGAUGAUUACUCGAUGUUGGCGAUACACAGCCAGCGUCUUAGCGAAAGCGAUAAGUAAUCCACCUGGGGAGUACGCCGGCAACGGUG